UGAAGUGUUUUCCCAUCGCGUCCUUUCCUUUAAUCUUCGAGCCACCAUACCUUUAUUCCAAAGGAUUAAUUGACAAGGCAGUCGAGCGGCCGGUCGGCCGGAGAUCGUACUUUAUAGCGCUAUGUUCCCAAUUCCCAUGCGUCUUCCUCCCCGGCUCACGCCAGUGAAUUUCUACUUCGGCAAGGAGAUGUCAAUCCCAUAUUUGCACUACAUAGAUCGACUAAAUUGAAUAUGUGGAGCUGAAGCAGCCGCUGGUGUGGAAUUAGCCAGCCUACCUUCUUAGCGCUCUGGUUCUCGGACCGCCCGUCAUCAUCGUCGCCGGCGAGCCCCUGACAUGCAGGCAAGACAAAAAAAUCACUGGCGGCGCUGGCGAAUCAACAACGGCGUGAAGGCUGAGCAUGGGCAAGUCUGUUUUUGUUUCCUUUUUCUUUCAUAAUGUUGGCGUUCGUUUUUGAAGGGUCACCUCUGACUUCCCUUCUUAGCAUGUCAGGGGAUCUGAUGGGUGCUACAACAUCCAGUGCCAUCCUAUCAGCCUCAAAGAUCUUCGUCAUCUGCCUUAGAAGUUUAUGAUUAAUUUGUUUUCUCCAUUCACUAAUGGUUGUGACUUGGGAGUACUAAUCAUUAUGUUUGCUUCAGCUCAGGAUUCGCCAUGCCAAGACGUUUGGCAGCGGUGCUGAAGCUGGGAGUGUUUAAGUCAGCUCAAAGGAUGGGAUGUCCCAUGGGGAUACCGUCGACGGGUGUCCAGGAGUUUCUGUUGGAUGUGUUCUUAUUCCAGGACAUGAAGCAGUUCUGUGAAGUGAUUAGCAUAUCAGACUUGCAAACCACGUGCUUGCUUCUUGAAAUGAAACUUUUUGGUGUUAAUACUCUCCUUCCGUUUCUCAUAUGUGGCAGCUAAGGGCACACCUCUUUUUAGUUCAUUCAAAUACCUUUGUCUUAGUAUAUUCUUAUAAAUAUUUUUCGAACAAGAUCCUUAUCAAUA